rnacentral:rRNA from 1 species
AGUGAACGCUGGCGGUAGGCCUAGCACAUGCAAGUCGAACGGCAGCACAGUAAGAGCUUGCUCUUACGGGUGGCGAGUGGCGGACGGGUGAGGAAUACAUCGGAAUCUACUUUUUCGUGGGGGAUAACGUAGGGAAACUUACGCUAAUACCGCAUACGACCUACGGGUGAAAGCAGGGGAUCUUCGGACCUUGCGCGAUUGAAUGAGCCGAUGUCGGAUUAGCUAGUUGGCGGGGUAAAGGCCCACCAAGGCGACGAUCCGUAGCUGGUCUGAGAGGAUGAUCAGCCACACUGGAACUGAGACACGGUCCAGACUCCUACGGGAGGCAGCAGUGGGGAAUAUUGGACAAUGGGCGCAAGCCUGAUCCAGCCAUACCGCGUGGGUGCAGAAGGCCUUCGGGUUGUAAAGCCCUUUUGUUGGGAAAGAAAAGCAGCAGGUUAAUACCCCGCUGUUCUGACGGUACCCAAAGAAUAAGCACCGGCUAACUUCGUG